CUGCCCCUAUCAUGAUGUGUUGUCAAGUGAGGAAAUACCUAGAAAACCUGGGGAAAGUGUCGCAGACAGGGAAGCUCUAGAAAUGGAUUAUCUACGCACAGUAGUGAACAAGGCUGCAAGGAGGAAGAGAAAACCGAGACGAUGGGAGCACAAACUCGCCAGGAGAAGCUUCUUCCCAUGGUGGAGAUCGGUGUUAUCUGCUCGGUCCAAAGUCAAGAUCAUCCCCCACAAAUGGGCACGUCCUUCUGAAUGCUUGGAUCUGAAGAUGGCUUGGAAGAAACCAGUUGAACGCCUGGAUGGCGAGACAGCUUCGAAGAAGGCAACCGCCCAGCAGGAUGGUUCUGCUGCUGCAGCUCCCGGCUCGAUGGGUCGAGUUCCCAUGGUAGUAUAUAGUAGCAAGCCCGGUGAGCUGUUUACUACAAUACCGGUCGAUGAUAUACCCAAAUACAUGAGGCGACACAGAAGGCAAUCCAGAAGGCUGUUUAGUACAGCGGUUAGUUAUCAGCCCAGGAUGGUGAUUGGUACAGGAGUUAAUUCUCAGCCCAGAAAUCUGUUUGGUACAGCGGCAUCGAUGCUGCUCAAAGUGUUGAAGAAGGCAUGAGGAGUAGUAUAGAAAAGCAAGGCUUGUUCAAGUUUCUGAGCAUGCUCAUGUUAUGCAAGGCAACUACCUAAAUAACAGACAUACUUAUAUGCGUAUGCUGUGUGUAAUGCCACUGCGGAGUAUAUCCCGUAUUCGCUAAUUCUUUUCUCGAGCAUUGUUCCUCUUAAUCCCGGUUGGCAAUCGUGAAUUCCUGUUAGCGCCCGUACCGUAACAAUGAGAACCUUAAUUGUAUACUCCAACAGAAUGACUUUCUCUGGUUGUUUCAA